AACCAAGGACAGGAAGGGACAGACGUCUCUCUUUACCCUCCAACGGCAGGAUCUGAGUGAGGUUCUUAACAAUUUUUGUCCCACUCAGAGCCUCUUUCCCCUCCCUUGUCCUGGGGGCAGGGGUAACAUAUAAAGACAGGCACCCCUAGAUGUCAAGUUCACUGGGAAGGGCCAGAGGAGUGUCAGAGAUUGGGCCUGACCAGAGGCUGAACUGGGGACAAGAAAGAUUAGAGCUUGAAGAAGACAGGAGUCCUGGUGAGCAGGGGACAGGAGGGGAGGCGAAUGUCCGCCCACGGCCCUGAAGCGGAGAGUGAGCAGCCUUACCGCUGCCUGAUAUAUACAGCGGUUACCCAGGCCGUAAAUUAGAGUCAGGGUCCCAGAUUAGCCCUGGAAUUAAGUACUGUAAGAAUCUGAGGAGAAAAAAAAAUCACAUAAAAUUCAAUUUAAAGAUUAAACAGUUAUGCUUUCCUGUGAAGCCCGCCUCCUGAGAUGAUUAAAUCGCCCUGCAUUUGGGCAGGAGCUCUCACCUGAAGGUCUCAAGCUGGCAGCAAGUUACACAGUGGGUUGAAACAGGGUGCCCCUGGUCCCUAAGGCUUCAGGUCCUUGGGGAAGGACCAGCUAUGCCUGCUUGUCCCCCACCCAUCAGUCAAGCCCCCUCCAAUCAUCCCCUGCUCUUGGGUCACAAAGAAGGAGAAACCAGGAGGAGAGGAGGGCUGCCAGGGAAGCCCAUCCCCAUCUUGGGAGCUGAGAGUUUGCAGACUGCCGACAUGACCAUGCACAGCACUCGGAGUAUGCAGAUUGUGUCCAGGAUGGAAGGAAGGAGCCUUAACCUCUCUGGGCCCCAAGCUUCCGGGUUGGACAAAGUGACACGGUGCUGUGUAAAGAGCUUGGAACGGCGUCUGGCACAUGUUAAUGACGACGGCAAGUGACCUCCGUGACCACCGGCAUGCUCCUCCAAGACUGACUUUAGGUGAACUUGGGACAUAGAGUUCAGAGACCUGAGGGACCAAGGAGGGGCCUGGGUACCUUUGGAUUGGCUGCAUAUUCGGGAUUUGGCUCACCUUAUGCAGAAGAGGGACUGUGCUGACGUCAAGAUGUCGGGAGAGCCCCCGGGGACACUGAAGGUGUGGAUGAUGAAGCCACGGGCUGGCUCGGGCUCCACUGCCCCUCAGAAAGAGAGGAAUUCAGCCCCCCAUCCUAAUGCUUCUACACUGACAUGCCAAUGUCCAGAAGAGAGGGGACUCCUGGGCUGGCUUAAUAUCAAUAAUAACACCAGUGUCCUCUCUUUCUUCAACUUCCUUCUGGAUGGUGAGGACUUUGAAGACCUUGAGGGGAGGCAAGCUACAGGAUGGAGGGGGCCUGGGUCCCUGAAUGACUGCAUGGAGCAGUGCUCUCUCUCCUCCACUGACCUGCUUUGGACUUAUGGCAUGAGUAAUAAACCGACUCUUCUGGAAUUAAAAGCCUGAGACUUGGGGUUGUUUGUUACAGCAAUGAUCCCACAGUGACUGAUACAUUCUUCCUUCACAGACUCAGUCUUGAGCCUCUCUCUCAAUUUCCUCUUCUCCCUGAACCUUGGGUUUUCCUAUCUGUUUCCUGGCUUUUGACCUCUCCUCAUCCUGGGGCAAUUCUUCUCCUGCUACCCUGACAUCUAUGCUAGAGGUCAAUGCUUCUCUCUGGUUCUUCAAGGCCUCCUGGGAAGUGACCAAUCACCUGUAAGGAGCAAGGUCAGGGGGAAAAAACAGACCACAUGUUUGGAUUGAGAUGUGAGCCUACAACUCCAAUCUGGGCUCUACUAUAAACCUGCUGCAUGACUGUGGGUAAGUCAUUCCCCCCCUCUGAGUUUCCAUUGCUUCAUCUAUGAAAUGUGGAAGAAAGAAGUUUCACCUUUAACAGUGGCAGUCAAGUUGGAUUCAACUGCUAAAUCUGACAGACUCACAGGAUCCCCAACGACAGUGCUCACUAACCUACAGUUGCUUACAGGAAGAGGACUCAUCAGGAUGGGCUUUCCGGCUAGGCACCAGAGAGGCAGGUGCGGGUCUUCAGCACCCUCCCUCUGUAAGGGAUGUAGAACACCUCCAAACUGGGGAGGAGCCUCAUUAGGCAUUUGUACAUUUUGCUGGUCGUGUCGGCAUUUUUCCGCUACGUUACCAACCUCAACGGCAGAGCCGUCAGGGGUCUUGCCGAGGCCAGGUGCAAACCAUCAGUCUCACUGCUUCCCAUAAACAGUGCCGACAGGCUGGUCCGAGUUGCCCUGAAACUCCUCUGCCCCUGAUGACAGAGCAACACCCUUGCACGGUGUGUUUCAUGCCCUGACAGGCGAUCAGGCCAUAUGGGGGCUUCAGCAAAACAGCUCAUAGUUAACCCCCCAUUUCCCCCCAUCCUCAGCCCUGUCCUAUGGGCCAGACCUUUUUGUGAAGAAAUGAUCAUCCUUAGUCUGACAGCAAUUAACAAACUCAUGUCAAUGUCAAACAUUUGCUAUAACCAGUGGGGGAUUGGAACAAAUCUGAAAAGGUGACUGAAUCUUCCAAUAAGACCAGCACAGAUUUUCCCAUACUUUAGGACUGACUUUAUGAUUCUUUCACCUCCCUGAUCUACAAGCCAUCUGCAUUUAAUGAAUGAUUAAGGACUGUAAUCAAUCUAUCAUUAAUCAGAUCUAAAUCUUCUUCAGGCUGCUUCUCC